rnacentral:rRNA from 1 species
UGGGGAAUAUUGCACAAUGGGGAAGACCCUGAUGCAGCGACGCCGCGUGAGCGAUGAAGUAUUUCGGUAUGUAAAGCUCUAUCAGCAGGGAAGAAAAUGACGGUACCUGACUAAGAAGCCCCGGCUAACUACGUGCCAGCAGCCGCGGUAAUACGUAGGGGGCAAGCGUUAUCCGGAAUUACUGGGUGUAAAGGGAGCGUAGGCGGCAAGGUAAGUAAGAUGUGAAAGCCCGCAGCUUAACUGCGAGGAUUGCAUUUUAAACUAUCGAGCUAGAGUACAGGAGAGGUAAGCGGAAUUCCUAGUGUAGCGGUGAAAUGCGUAGAUAUUAGGAAGAACACCAGUGGCGAAGGCGGCUUACUGGACUGGAGACUGACGCUGAGGCUCGAAAGCGUGGGGAGCGAACAGGAUUAGAUACCC